GGUGCACUGGUGGGGUCCCUUGGCCUGGCCUGUGGGGAUUGGGCCGAAACCGGCAGUCCGACAUCCCCUAAAGGGUCCUGGAUUGCGAGAGGGUGCAGGCCAGGCCAAGGGACCCCACCGGUGCAUG
rnacentral:pre_miRNA from 1 species